rnacentral:rRNA from 1 species
AGGAUGAACGCUGGCGGCGUGCUUAACACAUGCAAGUCGAACGAUGAAGGCUGGAGCUUGCUCUGGCUGGAUUAGUGGCGAACGGGUGAGUAACACGUGAGUAACCUGCCCCAGACUCUGGGAUAAGCGCUGGAAACGGCGUCUAAUACCGGAUACGAGCUUCCACCGCAUGGUGAGGAGCUGGAAAGAUUUCGGCUGGGAUGGACUCGCGGCCUAUCAGCUUGUUGGUGAGGUAAUGGCUCACCAAGGCGACGACGGGUAGCCGGCCUGAGAGGGUGACCGGCCACACUGGGACUGAGACACGG